rnacentral:rRNA from 1 species
GACGAACGCUGGCGGCGUGCCUAAUACAUGCAAGUCGAGCGAGACUCUUCGGAGUCUAGCGGCGGACGGGUGAGUAACACGUGGGCAACCUGCCUGUAAGACUGGGAUAGCACCGGGAAACCGGUGCUAAUACCGGAUAAUCCUUUUCCUCUCAUGAGGAAAAGCUGAAAGUCGGUUUCGGCUGACACUUACAGAUGGGCCCGCGGCGCAUUAGCUAGUUGGUGAGGUAACGGCUAACCAAGGCGACGAUGCGUAGCCGACCUGAGAGGGUGGACGGCCACACUGGGACGGAGCCACGGCCCAGACUCCUACGGGGGGCAGCAGUAGGGAAUCUUCCACAAUGGACGAAAGUCUGAUGGAGCAACGCCGCGUGAGCGACGAAGGCCUUCGGGUCGUAAAGCUCUGUUGUUAGGGAAGAACAAGUACCGGAGUAACUGCCGGUACCUUGACGGUACCUAACCAGAAAGCCACGGCUAACUACGUGCCAGCAGCCCGCCGUAAUAC